UACGUAGGGCGCAAGCGUUGUCCGGAAUUAUUGGGCGUAAAGAGCUCGUAGGCGGUCUGUUGCGUCCGCUGUGAAAACCCAGGGCUUAACCCUGGGCUUGCAGUGGAUACGGGCAGACUAGAGGCAGGUAGGGGAGAAUGGAAUUCCCGGUGUAGCGGUGAAAUGCGCAGAUAUCGGGAGGAACACCGGUGGCGAAGGCGGUUCUCUGGGCCUGUACUGACGCUGAGGAGCGAAAGCGUGGGGAGCGAACAGG
rnacentral:rRNA from 1 species